rnacentral:rRNA from 1 species
GAUGAACGCUGGCGGCGUGCCUAAUACAUGCAAGUCGAGCGAACAGACGCGGAGCUUGCUUCUCUGACGUUUGCGGCGGACGGGAGAGUAACACGUGGAUAACCUACCUAUAAGACUGGGAUAACUUCGGGAAACCGGAGCUAAUACCGGAUAAUAUCUUGAACCGCAUGGUUCAAUAGUGUAAGACGGUUUUGCUGUCACUUAUCGAUGUAUCCGCGCGGCAUUAGCUAGUUGGUAAGGUAACGGCUUACCAAGGCAGCGAUGCGUAGCCGACCUGAGCGGGUGAUCGGCCACACUGGAACUGAGACACGGUCCAGACUCCUACGGGAGGCAGCAGUAGGGAAUCUUCCACAAUGGGCGAAAGCCUGACGGAGCAACGCCGCGUGAGUGAUGAAGGUCUUCGGAGCGUAAAACUCUGUUAUUAGGGAAGAACAAAUGUGUAAGUAACUAUGCACGUCUUGACGGUACCUAAUCAGAAAGCCACGGCUAACUACGUG